ensembl:lncRNA
CUCUAAUACUAAACCAAGCUACUGCGUUUAAGCAAGGGUCAAUGUAAUUCUACUUCCUGAGCGCUUGUUCGUUUUUGUGGUUUUUAAAAAAAUCUGAUGUCAUAUCAAGUGACCAUCUGAAAAAGGAAGUGUAGAGCACUUCCCUCUUAGAAUCACAUCAGAGCUGAGCUGCUUUCAGACGACUCCGUCUUGUUGUGGAUGCUGAAGCUGAUCAUGGUUCUCCUGUGGAUGAUCCUGUUGGUGCUUCUGCUCUGUGCAGAGGCCGAGAACGUGACCGAGGUCAGAGGAGAGCUGGGGACCAAUGUCACUCUAACCUGCUCCAAUCAGACAUCAGACACACACUGGUACAUGGAGAUCCACAGUCAGUUCAGAGCAGGUAUCGGCCGCAGUUUUUCCUCAGCAGGCUCUACCUACUACUCUCCUGAUUUUGAAACUAAAUUUUCAAUCCUGGGAAACAAACUUGUGAUUAAAAACUUGACAGCAGAGGACUGCAGGCUUUACUUCUGUGGCAUCAAGAGAAAUGGUAGCACUCAGUUUGUGGAGAGUUUUAGCCUCGUCUCAGAUAUCUGUCCAACCCCUGACCCUGAGUGUGGAGUGUUGCAGAGGCAGACUUUCCUCGUCAGCUCAGUGAUCCUGAACUUUGUGCUCUUUUUAGUACUCUGUCUGAGUUGUGUAUGGCUGUGUCUGAAGAGGAGAAUCAGCAAGUAUCAGGCAAACCUCCCUCCAGCUGGGACCAGUGAGAGGCUGGAGGCUCCACAGGUAACUCAAAGUGUACAGGUGACCCUGCAGCUCAUGCUCAUUGUUCUCCUUCAGUGCUACUUUGUCCUGUACUCAGUGCUGCUGUUGUGUUUCAGUACGAGGAGAUCCAGCUCCCCACUCCCUCUGCUGCUCCGCUUCAAGAGUGUGUUUAUUACAAAAUUCAGCUUCCUCGCUCCACACUACCUCAAAGCUGAUGGACACACCUGUACAGGUGGAUGAUACCUGCUGGACAGAGGUCAGUCUGAUAACUGAAGACUUGCUGCUCCGCCGCUCGUAGGAGGAUUUAUUUUUUCCUCUCUGGUUUGAGUUGUUGGACCAAAAGUUCUGAAUCAAAAUUUUCCACAAACUUGAUGAAAGUGCUGCAAGAUUAAUUUUAGUCAGAGACAAUCUGCUCUGCUUCUGAGCUGAGAUGGACCCAAGAAUGUGACAACCUUUAGCCAAACCUGCUUUAAGGUGCUUCAGGAUUUAACACCAUAACUCAAUGCUGCUGUGAAAACCUGUAAAUAUGAAACUCCAACAUUUAAUAUUUAUUUGUUCUCUUAUAGUUUGUAUCUGUUUAUCAGUUUUUGUUGUUUUGUUUCAGCUGUUUUGUUGUUUAUGCUAUUUUGAAAGCACAGAUUUUAAACACAGUCUCAUUCCCUAAAAGGUCAGCAUGAUGAUGAAGUAUGACAACAGAAAGCUGCAUUUUACAAUUAAAUGUCAAACAGAAGUGAAACCAGGACAAAGACAAAAUAUCACAUGUUGACUGUGAGAAAUGUGAUUUUUGAAAGACAUAUUUUUUUUAAUUUGUUGCAGCAUCAAAUUUAAAAAUAAUGUUGUGAGAAGCUGUCAAAAUUACUGAGCCGUCCAUUUUCCUCUGCUUAUCCAUUUUAAGUAUGCAGGAGUCUAUACCAGCUGUCAUAGGGCUAAAGGAGGGGUACACACUGGACAGAUCACCAGUCUGUCACAAUAACAUGUAACAAAAUUAAAUGUGUUUUUUUAAAGCAUCCCUGGUAAACACUGAAGUUCUCCAGAAAGACUUUGUUCACAAAUAACUAAUCCAUCCACAUUAAUAAUCUCAGUUUGAACAUUUGGGCUGUUGAUUUAAAAUCUAAGAUUAUAUGGUCUUUGCAAAUUAUUGCAUAACAGGUUUGUUUUAGUAUAAGAAUAUGUAAAAGAACUUUCUACAUACCUGUGGCAUUAUUCUUUUGUUCUGUGAAAAUACACUGCGAUCAUUUUCAGUUUGAUUACAGCAUUUAUUUUUGGUUUAGGCAUUCGUGUAGUUAUUUAACACAAAUAGAACUUGAGUUCACACCAGUGAUUUGUUUGUUUGAAAGAGAAAAUGUGGUUUGAAGUAUUUCUUUGUAAUGUUUAAUAUGAACCUAUUAAACAUUUGAGAACAACAAGGGACAGAAACAAAUCUGGAUGAUAUUAUUUAAAAAAAGAGUUUCACAAUGUUCCUCUUUCCUCAAGGCCAUGUGAGUGUUUGUUGGUCAGAUUUCGCAGGAAACUAUUCAGCGCUUUCCUCACACGUUCUGAAAACAACAGCAAGUGACAACCUGUAAAAACAAUUUCAGUUGUUGCUUCUCAGUAAAAGGCCAGCUUCCUGUUUCCAUGUAUUCUGACCAUGUUGGGCCCCAUCCUGCUCCAACCAGUACAAACAGGUCACGUGUCAUGUCUGGUAGGCAGGAUUUGGACCCAAAUGUAGGACCCAGGAGACAGGAAAUACAUUUAAAAGGCAGCUUUAAUGCUAAAUUCCAAUGAAAAUGUUCCCCAGGAAUGAGGAAUUCAAAAACUAUACAGAAAUGAGACACACACAAAUGUAAUGAGGAAAAACACAACAAAAACUGAAUAAAGCUGAAGGAAUAAAUAAACAAGAUGAUGAGGGCAAACAGGAGAUACCUGGGAGGGUAGUUUUACUAACUGAGAAAAUAAGAGAAGGGGUGUGAAACUAAAUACAAAGACAAGAGACAAAACACCAAACAAAAUAAAGCAGGAAGUAACUGAACUUGUAAACAGAAACACAGGCAGGCAGGAAGCCGACAAAAUCAGGAAAAACAUGAUUGCAAAUUACAGAGCCAGGAAUGAGAAUAAGAGAAAUAACUCUGAAGUACAAAUGAGCUAAAAUACCAAACUCAAAAUGGCAAAACAAAGAAGAAACUACACAGAAACAUAAAAUGGGGGGGAAAUAAAAGAAACUGAAGGUACUGAACAAUAACUGAACCUGAAUGACCAAAAAUCCCAAAAAGGUUAGCAAAACGAGCAGGGAUGAGAGAAGAUGGGGCAAAAACAGGUCCAGAUGGCAGAUCAAGAAUGCUGAUAUUUGUUAAUCUGAAUUUGGAAAUCAUUGGAUUUGUGUGACUUACACCAGUGAUAAAAAGUCUUUAUCAUGUCCUAAAAUGAAUCCAUUACAACCUGAGAUGAACAAGAACACACAAACAAAGCCCAAAUUCAGAAACAGCGUGUAGAAAAACUGAGUUUAAUGAUCUCUCACAUUCAAUUCUGGGUCACUCUUCUUUACUAAGUUCCUUUGAUUGGGACUUGGAGGCAUUCGUUUAUACGCGGCUCUCUGAAGGGCCCACCACAGUAUUUCAAUCAGGUUGAGGUCUGACCUUUGAUUGGCCCAUUGCUGAACUUGAUUCUUUUCUUUUUUAGCUGUUCUGUUGGAGAUUUGCUGCACGCCUGAGCUGCGGCUGAGCUUUAGCUGUCAGAUAGAUAGCAUCAAUAUUUGGCUCUAGAAUACUUGCAUGGGCAUGCAGAGGAGUUCAUGGUCAACUCAAUGACUGUAAGGUCCCCAGGUCUCAUGACUGCAAAGCAAUCCCAAAUCAUCACCCUUCCAUCGUGCUAACAGUUGACAUGAGGUUCUUGUGCUGACAUGUGUGUUUGGUUUUCCCCAGGUGUAAUGCUGUGCACUAUCACUGAACAUAGACGCUUUUGUCUUAUAUGUCCAAAGGGCAUUAAUUUAGAUGUUUUGUAGCUUGUUUUAAUGCAUCUUCACUUUAACCCUUGUUGGCAUGUUCUUUUUAGGGUGGCUUCUUCAUUACUUUCAUAAAUAAGGCCUCAUAUCUAGUGGAGUGUUUAAAGUUACCUGUGCCACAUCAGUUUGUGGGGUUGAAUUUUUGCAGCUUUCAGAGCUCUAGUUCCUGUUUCUGCAGCAAGCUUCAGCCACAAGUUUAUCAUCACUGUAUAUGUACUUUAAACCACGCAGAAUAACGACAAUGAUCAUGCAUUUGUAUCAGUUGGUUUAGAAAGAAAACAAAAAGCAAACGCAAAACACACAUUUAUUUAUCUACAUUACCAAAACAUACCAGAUAUUUUCUCCUAGCAUAAUCCUACAGGAUCACAUUCACAUGUUGUUCAUAGAGUUUACUUUGAGCCUUAUUCACGUUUGUCUUUGAAGAAUAAAGCGCAUUAAGCACAGCCUGCAUUUGUGCUGAGUCUUUUUUUUUUUGUUAUGAUGGUAGUUCAGAAAUUUCCCCUUAAGAACUUAUUGAGUUCAGAAUAGAAACCUUUUGAACAAUUAGCCAAUCUCAAAAUGUUUAGGAACUGAGAGGCAAGUCAGUCAAAAGAGGAACAUCAGUAGAUACACAAAGGGACCCGCAAGUAACAUAAAGAACAUAAAGACGAA